rnacentral:lncRNA from 1 species
AGUCGGUAUAGUUUAUUCAGUCGGUUGAUUUUUGUUGAGUCGAAGUCAAAGAUCGAUUGAUUUUAGUCGGAAAUCGAUUAACUUACCCUAAUAAAACCAUACAUUUGAAAAACAGCCCCAACAUCUGGACUGUGGAAGACUGUACCUUAUCAGUCACUUGAGUCACUUCUUUGAGCACAUCCUAAAUUCUGAUAUCUUGAAACUGAUGAUGGAGGAACCGAGAACCAUC